rnacentral:rRNA from 1 species
CCACGGGACGCAGCAGUGGGGAAUAUUGGGCGAUGGGCGCAAGCCUGACCCAGCAACGCCGCGUGAAGGAAGAAGGCUUUCGGGUUGUAAACUUCUUUUGUCAGGGAUGAAGCAAGUGACGGUACCUGACGAAUAAGCCACGGCUAACUACGUGCCAGCAGCCGCGGUAAUACGUAGGUGGCAAGCGUUAUCCGGAUUUACUGGGUGUAAAGGGCGUGUAGGCGGGGAGGCAAGUCAGAUGUGAAAACCACGGGCUCAACCUGUGGCCUGCAUUUGAAACUGGUUUUCUUGAGUGCUGGAGAGGG